rnacentral:misc_RNA from 1 species
UCCGAGUUGACCCCGGCAGUCUCCUGCGAGUCCCCGCCAUUACGCGCUGGCAACACAGGACAAGGGUUGCGCUCGUUGCGGGACUUAACCCAACAUCUCACGACACGAGCUGACGACAGCCAUGCACCACCUGUAUACCGACCACAAGGGGGGCCGUAUCUCUACGGCUUUCCGGUAUAUGUCAAACCCAGGUAAGGUGGGGAUGACGUGAGGAAUGUCGAUA